AUCUCUUAACUUACUUCACCUGUACCUAGAGCUUGAGGGCUCCUGCAGAGGGCAAGAGGCAUUCCAGGAACAUCGUGGGGUCACACUGCCUGUCACAUCCUCCCAGGACCCUGAGCCCCAAAAACAACCCAGCCUUGGGACCCUAGCCUGCCCAGUCUCCAGAGAUGUGAUACCAGCCAAGAUGGGAGCUGAAGCAGUCCAGCAAGAUGCUUGGUGUUCUGGUCGGGCUCUUUGUGCCGAUGCAGCUGCCAUGGGCCAUGGACUGUGACUCCAGCUGGUGGUGGAGAGAGGAAGAGCGUGGCCGCUGAGUCCAUUGUCAGCCCUGGAUCCCCAGUUGCAGCCUGAGCCAAAUGCUACUAAGGACCACUAACACCUGCUGAAAGCCCAUGCUUUUCCCAGAUGAAAUUUCUUCUGGGGCUGCCGGGAAGGAGGAGGAGGCGUGCCAUCCUGCCUCCCACUGCUUAACAAGAUCCUUGAGCUAGAUGGGCCCAGAAAAUCUCAUCCACUCCCCUUGGCUUCUUUGGAAUCAACACUGGCAUGCCUGCCAGACUUCAUGCCAUGGAAUGAGCUCUGGUCCUUAAAUAGCUGAUCCCAACUGAGAUUCCAGCUGCAAUUUACAGGUAGGACUCAGGAUGCCAGCAUAGGCACCCAUGGGCUAGAGCUGAGUGGCUGGAGUUUUUGCUGCCAGCACUUUCUGCAGAGUUAACAAACCAUCAGGAGUAGAGGAUGCUGAGGAGGUUUGCAUGUCCACCAUUUGCCUAUCAGACUCUCCAUUCAUUCCAAAAAAUGUACUGAGCAUUUGCACUUAAAGCUCCAGGAGGGCAGAGACUGUCUGUGGAUCUGGCAUGUGGCAGGGAGUCAGUGCUUAGAAAACAUUUGAAUGAAUGAACUUUACAGAAUUUUCUUUAGACCUUGAUGCUACUGGGGACUAGAGUUUGAGUGGAGGCUAACCUGGUUAGUUUUAUGCUUUUUGGAAGAUCGUUUAGGCAACUGUGGGAAAACAGGAGAAUGGACAGUAUGUCUGAGGAGCUUCCUCUGCUCGUGACUGAAGGGGAAUCAGAUUUGAACCUGGUACCUGAAGAUGGAGGAGGCCACCUGGAAGGAACAAAGAGCAGCCGCAAAGGGCUGAGAAGGAUCCCUGGCCAACAGGAAAUGAGGAUCCCAGUCCUGCAACCACAAGGAACUGAAAUCUGCCAACAGCAGUAACGAACUAGGAAGAGGAUCCCAAAUGCCAGAUCACAGCAGUUGGAAACUUUGAUUUCACCCUUGUAAGCACUGCUCAAAGAACCCAAUCAUGCCAUCCUGGACUUCUAACCUGCAGACCUGGGAGAGAAUGAAAGGAUAAGGCACUAAGUGGUCAUGAAGUGAAAGUCGCUCAGUCAUGUCUGACUCUUUGUGGCCACGUGGACGAUACAGUCCAUGGAAUUCUGCAGGCCAGAAUACUGAAGUGGGUAGCCUUUCCCUUCUCCAGAGUAUCUUCUCAAACCAGGGAUCAAACCCAGGUCUCCUGCAUUGUAGGUGGAUUCUUUACCAGGUGAGCCACAAGGGAAACCCAAGUGGUCAUAUGUUACAACAACAAUAGGAAAUGAAUACACCAACUGCUGGUUACAUUCACACAUGUGAAGGGGCAGGUCAGGACAAGCCAGCAGAGAAAAGAGGCCCAGGAGGACUUGGAGUUGAUGAUAAUCACCCCUACCUCAUCAGGUUGUGGAAAGGAUCGAAUGCACAGAAAGUAAGUGGAUAAAUGUUGGCCACUGGAGGUGUGGCUGGGACUGGACCUGGGUCCUAGAUGUAGGUGGAGAUCUGGGAGUUGCAGGAGAAGGGCUGCUGCUUCCAGACACCAAGCCUAUCUCAGUCGUUGAUUCCAUGAGAUAGGAUGGAGAGAGCAGGUGACAUUGUCACUGCCCAAGCUCUGCUGCAUCCCCUGUGCUUGGGGUCUGUCAAAUGGGCUGGUCCCAGUCCUCUCUGCCCGGGCUCACACCUCCUCUCCUUUGAGUUUACACCCACCCUCUAGAGCAGUGAGGAAUUACCGAGAUUGGUUGUGGCUGUCUCUGGUUUAUGAGCUUUUUAUUGCUGUGCUCUGCUGACAGCUGGUUUCUUACUUUGCCUUUGGAGGGGGGCAUGGAGGUCAUGGUCUUAUUACUAGAAUGUGAAAACUGGAAGCAUCUUUGGGACUUAUCUAUUCCCUCUCCUUCAGUAACAGAGGCUUGAUGAGGCUUGAGGAGGAAGGGACUUUCCCCAGACCACAGCGCAAACCAGGGGCCAGGCUUCUCUUCCUCCCUCGGUCAGUCUUUAGCUGGGCUUGGAGAGAGGUGGGAUUCAGGGAGCAGCAGGUGGUCCCCUUCCUAGCCCCGUGCUUCUUUUCCUCAGCCCCCAGUGUCACUGAGGAGGAACAGAAACCCGACCAUACUCAGUUUCUGUCCAGGCUUUCCUUUUCUAUGUGUGGAUGGAGAAAUCUAUUUUUUUCUUUCUUCACGAGAGGAGAGAAGACAGGCUGAAGUGGAGCAGACUGGGGAAGAAACUGGGUUAAGAGUGUUUGGGGCUUGAUAGGGAGACCUUUGGAGAAGGAAAUGGCAACCCACUCCAGUGUUCUUGCCUGGAGAAUCCCAGGGACGGGGGAGCCUCGUGGGCUGACGUCUAUGGGGUCACACAGAGUCGGACACAACUGAAGCGACUUAGCAGCAGGGAGACCUUGGGUGUCAGAGUCCUUUUGAUUUAGAUGAGGAGUCAGCAAAUGUUUCUGUUAAAGCUCUGCAGGCUACACAAUCUCUGUUGCAAGUGUUCAACUCUGCUGUCAGAGGAUGAAAGCAGCAUGGACAGUAUGUAAACAAAUGGAUGUAGAGUUUAGAAUAAAACUUUAUUUAUGAAAAAAAAGACAGUGGGCUACAUUUGGUUUAUGGGCUGUAGCCACUGUAGUUCCUUGAUUUGGAUGAUGAUGGUGGUGGCGGCUUCUCCCAUCCUCACCUCCUCAUUACCAUCCAUAACUCCAUGACUUGGAGCCCAAUAUUGGAAGGUUUUAGAUGCCUAAAUCACUUGUUGGCGACACA
ensembl:lncRNA